AGAGUUUGAUCCUGGCUCAGAACGAACGCUGGCGGCGUGCCUAACACAUGCAAGUCGAACGUGAUCCGCCCUUCGGGGUGGUGAAAGUGGCGCACGGGUGAGUAACGCGUGGAUAAUCUGCCCGAGGAUUUGGGAUAACAUCUCGAAAGGGGUGCUAAUACCGAAUAAGCCCACGGGGUCUACGGAUCUUGCGGGAAAAGGGGGGGACCUUCGGGCCUCCUGUCCUUGGAUGAGUCUGCGUACCAUUAGCUAGUUGGUGGGGUAAUGGCCUACCAAGGCGACGAUGGUUAGCUGGUCUGAGAGGAUGAUCAGCCACACUGGAACUGAGACACGGUCCAGACUCCUACGGGAGGCAGCAGUGGGGAAUUUUGCGCAAUGGGGGAAACCCUGACGCAGCAACGCCGCGUGGGUGAUGAAGGCCUUCGGGUCGUAAAGCUCUGUCUGGAGGGAAGAAAUGAUUGGGAGCUAAUACCUCUUGAUCUUGACGGUACCUCUGAAGGAAGCACCGGCUAACUCCGUGCCAGCAGCCGCGGUAAUACGGAGGGUGCAAGCGUUGUUCGGAAUUAUUGGGCGUAAAGCGCGUGUAGGCGGUCUUUUAAGUCUGAUGUGAAAGCCCCGGGCUCAACCUGGGAAGUGCAUUGGAAACUGGGAGGCUUGAGUACGGGAGAGGAGAGUGGAAUUCCUAGUGUAGGAGUGAAAUCCGUAGAUAUUAGGAGGAACACCGGUGGCGAAGGCGGCU
rnacentral:rRNA from 1 species